CCCCCAGGGCGGUGCCCGGUGCUGGAGCAGAAGGAAUUCGGGGCCGCGCUCCGGGAUGAACCCUGCGGGAAGGAAACGGCCCCGGGACACGCCGGGCUCUGCAGGGGUCACUACAGCGAGUACCUGGUGGGGCUGGUGAACCGGCACGGGCUGGACCCGGCGCCUCUCUAUGACCGGGCCGAGCUGCGCGCGGCCGCCGAGCGCCACCUGCCGGCCGGGAGGACCCGGCGCGGCCCCGCCGAGAGCGACGCCGCCUUCGAGCAGCGACUGCGCCACCUGCUGGAGAGGGAGGCGCCGCUAAGGCCACGCCCCCCCGGCCAGGGACACGCCCCCUUAUGCAAAUGAAGGGUGUGCUGAGCCACGCCCGCUUUUAUGCAAAUAAAGAUAUAUAUGUCUGCUCAUUAGAGGUGGAGCCACGCCCCCUUUUAUGCAAAUAA